rnacentral:sRNA from 1 species
UUGACAACUGAUCGAGAAUGACUAUUAUCUACAUCACCAGCCGCGAGGCUGGUUUGAUAUCUGAAUGCAUCCCUGUCGGACGCUUACAGUUAUCUCCUCAUCAGGCUAAUCACGGUUAUUGACCCGGCUCUUGCCGGGUCUUUUUUUG